rnacentral:rRNA from 1 species
CCUACGGGUGGCAGCAGUGGGGAAUAUUGCACAAUGGGGGAAACCCUGAUGCAGCGACGCCGCGUGAGUGAAGAAGUAUUUCGGUAUGUACAGCUCUAUCAGCAGGGAAGAAGAAAGACGGUACCUGACUAAGAAGCCCCGGCUAACUACGUGCCAGCAGCCGCGGUAAUACGUAGGGGGCAAGCGUUAUCCGGAUUUACUGGGUGGAAAGGGAGCGUAGACGGCUGUGCAAGUCUGAAGUGAAAGCCCAGGGCUCAACCCUGGGACUGCUUUGGAAACUGUGGAGCUAGAGGGCUGGAGAGGUAAGUGGAAUUCCUAGUGUAGCGGUGAAAUGCGUAGAUAUUAGGAGGAACACCAGUGGCGAAGGCGGCUUACUGGACAGUAACUGACGUUGAGGCUCGAAAGCGUGGGGAGCAAACAGGAUUAGAUACCCCAGUAGUC